rnacentral:rRNA from 1 species
UACGAAGGGGGCUAGCGUUGCUCGGAAUCACUGGGCGUAAAGGGUGCGUAGGCGGACAGUUAAGUCAGAGGUGAAAGCCCAGGGCUCAACCCUGGAAUUGCCUUUGAUACUGAUUGUCUUGAGUAUGGGAGAGGUAUGCGGAACUCCGAGUGUAGAGGUGAAAUUCGUAGAUAUUCGGAAGAACACCAGUGGCGAAGGCGGCAUACUGGCCCAUUACUGACGCUGAGGCUCGAAAGCGUGGGGAGCAAACAGG